GACGAACCGAGCGAACGUUGUUCGGAAUCACUGGGCUUAAAGGGCGCGUAGGCGGGUGCUCAAGUCCGGGGUGAAAUCCCACAGCUCAACUGUGGAAUUGCCUCGGAUACUGGGUGUCUCGAGGGUGGUAGGGGUAUGCGGAACUAUCGGUGGAGCGGUGAAGUGCGUUGAUAUCGAUAGGAACUCCGGUGGCGAAGGCGGCAUACUGGACCACUUCUGACGCUGAGGCGCGAAAGCCAGGGGAGCAAACGGG
rnacentral:rRNA from 1 species